rnacentral:rRNA from 1 species
AUUGAACGCUGGCGGCAGGCCUAACACAUGCCAGUCGAACGGUAACAGGAAGAAGCUUGCUUCUUUGCUGACGAGUGGCGGACGGGUGAGUAAUGUCUGGGAAACUGCCUGAUGGAGGGGGAUAACUACUGGAAACGGUAGCUAAUACCGCAUAACGUCGCAAGACCAAAGAGGGGGACCUUCGGGCCUCUUGCCAUCGGAUGUGCCCAGAUGGGAUUAGCUAGUAGGUGGGGUAACGGCUCACCUAGGCGACGAUCCCUAGCUGGUCUGAGAGGAUGACCAGCCACACUGGAACUGAGACACGGUCCAGACUCCUACGGGAGGCAGCAGUGGGGAAUAUUGCACAAUGGGCGCAAGCCUGAUGCAGCCAUGCCGCGUGUAUGAAGAAGGCCCUCGGGUUGUAAAGUACUUUCAGCGGGGAGGAAGGGAGUAAAGUUAAUACCUUUGCUCAUUGACGUUACCCGCAGAAGAAGCACCGGCUAACUCCGUG